GUCACGUGUGCCGAAAAGCCUUCUGCAAAGGAUACACCUGUGUAUCCUUGUCUCCUCUCUCCUCGACAUUCAAUUUAGGAAUUGAGACGUCCUUCGAGGUGGCGCGCUAAGAUCGAUUUCCGGGUCACAGACAGGAGGAUGGAGGGGAGUGGAGACACUAAACAGAGAGACGAGAAGAGCCCAAAGAUCAGCAAUCAGUGUGUGCCCUUCGUAUUAAAAAGCGUCAGUGGCCACUGGAGAAAAUGAUGCUGUCAUCUGUAUUCACCCUGGCUGGCACUUUCUUCUUGCUGGUUUCAACGAAUAGCAUCCCAUCCAUCUGUAUGUUCUCUUAAUUGCCUCACAACCGGGAACUUGACAAGGAUUCCACUGUCUGCUGUUACUGGAAGUGGAGAUAAAUAAACCUGAUCGACUGUCCCAUCGA